GUGACAGUAAUUAAACUAAGUAUCUUUGUGAUGGGGAGUAGAACAAACUGCAUGUAAACUCCCUAACAGUUGGUAUAUAUUUUAUCUUCUCUUCCUCCCUGCUCAGAAUGGCUGGCUUGGACCGCAGUUUUCCACACAUGUCACAAGAAACCCGCCAAGAUGUCUACAGAUUUGCCAAAGAUUAUUUGACUAUGAAGAUGUCCCAAGGGGGCAGUCCCUGUACAGAAAACACCCCAGGCAGCUCCGGCUGGCUAGAGGCCAACUUUGGCGCCUUCAGCUCAGUCGCCCUUUACCAAGACCUGGUGGGCAUCAAUCCACAGCUCGACGCUGUAAGUAACCUGGCCGGACGGGUGGGUCCCUUCCUUGGGUGCUGGCUUGGCCCGGGGUUUCCCCGUGUUUCCCUGACCCGCUGGGCCUCUUCCCUAGAUGGAUGCUCUUGAGGACCUCACCCCGUGGCAGCUGGCGGACUACUCCUUAGGCAGCGACGUCCUGCGGAGCAGUGAGAAGGCUGGGAAAGUCUUGGGCACCCUCAGUGCUCACAACGUCGGAGAAUUUCUCGAUGCCUUCAACACAGCUGCCCAGACGCUCCAGCUUUCUCAGCUGCCCCACCCGGAGACCAGGCACUUCAUCCUGGGUGAAAUCUUCUGCCAUCUAAGUGGCACCCUCAAGUCCUUCUCCACGGAGGACUAUGCCCUCUGGUUUGGACAACGGCUCCCCCUCUUCCUGAGCAGUUUGGAUGCCCAGCACCUUGGCUUCUUGCCUGUUGAACUGGCGUGCGAUUCCCUCGCAGCCAUGUAGGUACCAACUCUCGGGUCCCGCUUCUCAGUUCAGGAGCAGAAGAGAGCUGGCCAGUAGGCAAUGGGGAAGCAUCACAAAUUGAGGGGGUCACCUGGGGUCAAGUGCUUCCCCAUAACUUCACUCUUUUUUGCUAACUGCCGAGGAUUAUUAUUAUAGUUGUAAUUCUCUUCUUUGUUUUGCAGAGUGGAAGCCCUGAAUGAUCAUCAGGUCAACAACACGUUUGAAAAUCCGGGAGACAUUUCGUCUUUCAUAAAGCAUGUUCUCCGUUUCCAAGCGCAAAAUGCAGGUAAAUAAAGGAAGGGCAUGGCCUGGCA
rnacentral:lncRNA from 1 species